GGAGAGGCUUACCAGACAGAGCAAACGUCAGUUGAGUGAGGCUGAUAGUGUUACCUUUAAUCUCAUAGGUUUGGAUAUCAUUAAUUUGGGUUUGUACUCUGGGAUUGAUUGGGCACUGGCUGUGGGCGUGAGAGCGAGGGGAUGCAAUUCUGGCCCCAAUUAGUUGGGCUCAGCAUUGCGGUGGCACAUAUCGGGCUCUGCCUCUGCUCCUUCAGCAUGCGCAUUAGUUC